UGAAAAAAGUUCAUUAUUUUGAUGUGGCCUCUUACAAAUAAAUACCAACAAAUAGUAAUACUAGCAGCACAGCAACGAGUAUAGUAAUGAGCAUUAUCUUUUUCUGCAAAAAACAACAAGAAACGAGAGUGGCGAGAAACAAAUAACCUCUAAGGCCAUAUCGAUGACACUUACCUCUCCAUAGGUAUAUCCAAUGAUUGUGAUUAAUUAGAUCUAUGCGAACUGUCAUUCAAAGAUGGCGUGAUAUCCAGUCAUUCCGAAAUGAGAUUCACAAGAGGAAGGACGAUGCGAUUGAAGGAACAAGAAUUGCUGUGGCACGGUGGAUGAGAUGAUGCUGGCCUACCUGCAGAACCGUUGAUAUCAAAGCACAUCCAACUCCCCUUCAGAUGUACCAUUUUGAUCUGGUCCAAAGACUGGAUUUAUCCUUGAUGGACUGCGAUAUCAAUCAAAUAUAGAUAAUUCAGACACAACAACGAAACAAACAAAUUAAACCAAAAUUGAAGU